ensembl:lncRNA
CCCUUUUCUGUGCUGCUGCAGCGGACCAUGGGUGGGAGCAUCACAGAACACUGGUACAGGACAUGGAAUGUGACCGCUGAACAUUGCAGAGGGCCAUUGAUCUGGAAGACAGCAAGUGUUUCUAGGGAAUGCAGAAAAAAAAGUGUAAAGCAUCCAAUUCUUUCCAGGUGGCAGUACUGGGAACAGGUGUGGUAUUCCAAACACCCGGAGCUGAUAUCCUCACCAAUUGGAGGGUUCCGUUUUUUGUCUGGGACAUGCUCAGAGGCGCCUGCAGGCUCUCGCUGCACUGUUUUUCUUUUCUUUCUGUUUUGUUUGAAAAAGAUAUUGGGUUAGGGCCUAUAAAAUCCCUCUGGUAUGACUUUAAUUGCAGCAUGGCCCCUUUUUUCCAAAUGCUCUGCUUAAUAGUUUAACAUGUUAGGUUUUC